GAGUUUGAUCCUGGCUCAGAUUGAACGCUGGCGGCAUGCCUUACACAUGCAAGUCGAACGGCAGCACGGGAGCUUGCUCCUGGUGGCGAGUGGCGAACGGGUGAGUAAUGCAUCGGAACGUAUCCUGGAGUGGGGGAUAACGUAGCGAAAGUUACGCUAAUACCGCAUAUUCUGUGAGCAGGAAAGCGGGGGACCUUCGGGCCUCGCGCUCUUGGAGCGGCCGAUGUCGGAUUAGCUAGUUGGUUAGGUAAAGGCUCACCAAGGCGACGAUCCGUAGCAGGUCUGAGAGGAUGAUCUGCCACACUGGAACUGAGACACGGUCCAGACUCCUACGGGAGGCAGCAGUGGGGAAUUUUGGACAAUGGGGGCAACCCUGAUCCAGCCAUGCCGCGUGAGUGAAGAAGG
rnacentral:rRNA from 1 species